rnacentral:rRNA from 1 species
GACGAACGCUGGCGGCGGGCUUUACUCAUGCAAGUCGAACGGAAACGCGUUGCUUUUGUGGGUUGCUCGAGUGGGCAUCGGGUGAGUAACCCGAGACUAACCUUCCCCUGGCUUUCGGCUAAGUUCUGGAAACCGGUUCUAAAAGCGGAUAGGUGCUUGCGUUUCAUGGUUGGCUCGGGAACGUUCCGGUGGUUGGGGAUGAACUUGCGGCGUAUCAGCUUGUGGGUGGGGUAGUGGCUUACCAAGGCUUCGACGGGUAGCCGGCCUGAGAGGGUGCCCGGCGACAUUGGGACUGAGAUACGGCCCAGACGCCGACGGGAGGCAGCAGUGGGGAAUAUUGCACAAUGGGCGGAAGCCUGAUGCAGCAACGCCGCGUGCGGGAUGACGGCCUUCGGGUUGUAAACCGCUUUCGCCUGUGACGAAGCGUGAGUGACGGUAAUGGGUAAAGAAGCACCGGCUAACUACGUG